rnacentral:rRNA from 1 species
GACGAACGCUGGCGGCGUGCCUAAUACAUGCAAGUCGAACGGAAAGGCCCUGCUCUUGCGGCGUGCUCGUGUGGCGAACGGGUGUGUAACACGUGAGUAACCCGUCCUUGUCUGUGUGAUAACACCAGGAAACUGGGGCUCUUACCGGAUAGGAGCUCCUGCUGCAUGGUGGGGGUUGGAAAGUUUCGGCGGUUGGGGCUGGUCUCGCGGCUUAUCAGCUUGUUAGUGUGGUAGGGGCAUUCCAAGGUUUUGACGGGUAGCCGGCCUGAGAGGGUUGCCGGCGACAAUGGGACUGAGGUAGGGAGCAGUCGCCAAUCGGAGGCAACAGGGGGGAGUAUUACGGAACGAGCGGGAGCGUGAUGAGGCGACGCCGCGUGCGGGAAGACGGCCUUCGAGUUGAGAACAGAUGUCUACUUUGACGAAGCGGUAGUGACGGUAACGGGUAAAAAAGCACCGGCUAACUACGUG